CUGGUCAAGGGCCACACAAAGCCCAAUCCAUUUAGUAAAUUGUCCCAAAAUCCAGACCUGAGCUUGACCUAUAACCCCCAAAUGUCACAAACAGGCACAUCUCAACCCAAAUUGCUCAUUGGGGGCGAUCCAAACUGGCCUAGCUACCACACUUGCAAAUACUGGCUUUCAAUCUCAUAGGUACUAGCCCUUUUCUAGAUUAAAAGAAAGACAUUUGGUGGAUGCCUUGCCCGAAGUCUAGCCAUGGGCAGAUUCCAUUUGGAUGGGCACAAAGGACAGAACUUUGCUGUACUAAGCAAGUAACUGAUUGCAUUUUCGAGACUGUCCUUUUCAUCUCUAUGGGCCAUUUUGAGAAAUUUCGUUUUCAUUGUUGGACCAACUGAGAGAUUCCAUUUGGAUGGGCACUACUUAGGAUAAGAUGGAAGGAAAUGUGCUUGAAGAACAUGUUAAGUCCUAGUGGAUGUUUGGAUUGGUGGAAAAUGGGAUUCAAUGGAGGAAAGGACUGAUUUCCUCUGAUUUGACAGCUCCCCUUUUUUGGGAAAGCCAAGAGUGAGGAAAUUGGUUUUCGUUUCCUCAUAAAGGUAAAUAAUUUUUGUAAUUGUUUCUCUUGUAGAUAUUCACUGCAGCAAUCUGCUACUGGUGCAAUUCCAUAUGUUCUUAUCCUUCUUAGGCCAUUUCAAUGUUUUGGACAUUUUUCUUUCCAUGUCAUUGUUGUGGUUAUGCCCCUGAAAGUCCGCUGAUAUUUUCUAUUUGUGAAGUUUCAAUUAUUUUUUCCCCUUAAUUGGUUGAUAUAUGGCCUUUGUGAAUCUUAUUGGUCUCCAACUCGCAAUUUCAAAUGUUCACCUUGUUUUGAAUUUUCUGUGUAAUCAUGGUGGAAUCUUUCUUGUUUUUUGUUUUUUCUUAUUUGUGGAAAAAACUGGUAUAAAGUGGCUUCCCUUGUGUUAUUGAUACUCUAUUGCCAUUCUACUCCUUUAGCCACUUGUUUACUUCUCGAGGUUGAUGGCCUUGGCUGUGGAUUGCCUACUCGGUUUCCAAAUGUACCCAUGUUGUUGUGAUUGUGCAAUUUUUUUAUGUGAUUCUUUUGCAGGUUCUUCUACUUCAACAUCUGCAGCUGUCUCCACUGAAGGUGGAGCAAAAAUCAGUUUUUCUGGUUCUGUUGCCACUACAGGUGAAGUUCUUGUUUUAAUUUCUUUUUAAAGGCACUCUUGGAUCUCUACUGACAUUGCUUACUCUCGCAAGCAUGCUUCCAACCAUUACAAGAAAUUAGAGGUAUCUUUGUUUCAUGCCUUUUGGCACAUGAUUGAAUUAGAGGUAUCUUUGUUUCAUGCCUUUGCCAUUUGAGUUCUUUGCCCUAUCAGGUUGUCUUUGAUUUUAUUUUAUUAUUUUUUUAUGCAUGACUUAGUUUUUGAGAAUUCUGCAUGCCAAUUGAAUUGGAUCGUAGCUAAACCUUGGCUCAAGUAAUGUUAGGGUGGAGCAUAGGCUAGGCUUCUUGUAGUGAAUAUCUUGUAGCUAUAUAACUUAUAUUUGCAUUGGUGAGAAACUAUUCGUGGACCUGCAGAUCUUGGACAUGUCGACUGUUUAUUCAUUACAAUAUUUGACAGUUUGAAUGGGAAAUGCCAGAAGGAACUCGAGACAAUUGGGAGGCAAUAUCCGUUUAAACCUUUGAAGCUCAAUUUUCUUUGCCAUUAUAAGUUUCGAAAUGUUGAAUUUGGUCUAUAUUUUUAUUGUCUCCAUUGAUCAUUUUUUGUUUGCCUUUGUUAUAACUUGUAUAUGUCUGUUAAUUGAAUUGUAUUGGCAUCUAAUUUUUACACACCUCACUCUUGAAUCUGAACAUUUGGACAUCUUUUAUUUUCCCCAUAUGGAUGUAUGGCGUGGAUAAAACACAUGCAUCAAUGUGGGCCCACAGAUGUGGGAUCUUCACUCUGACAAAAUGUCCUUUAGUUUCUUUAGUCCCGCUUUCCAAUGCUUGUGUAAUUUCAGAUUGGAUGUCUUUACUCCUACCUUUGGCUGUGGAAAGAGUUUGUGUAAUUACCAAUAUGGGUGCAAGUUUUUGUCGUCCUACCAGGAAGUGUCUUGAGCCUGAUCAUGUACAAGCUCCAUGGAUUUCAUUUUUUUUUUUCUACUGUUUAUCUUGGUAGGCUUGAAUUCAUGUGAGUUUUCUUCAAUUAUUCUAACCAGAAUCUUGUUUUCUCCUAACACUCCAAUUUGUUUUAUUUAGGUAGUUAUGAUAUGGAAGACAAUUGCAAGAGCUUAUGACUUAGCUGCUCUUAAGUAUUGGGGACUAGCAACUCAUAUCAACUUCUUGGUAUGUUUGGGUGGCGAUGGGAUCUGAAAAUUUGAGAUUUUGAUUCAUUUGUUUCAUGGCAUUCGGCAUUGGAAUUGGGAUGGUGCAAUUGGAUAACUAUUACAAAGAACUUGAGGAAUGGAGAACAUAAGUCCUUCAGUAGACAUCAUAUGACCCCUAAGUAGAUUAAAAUCUCAUUUUUCCAUAUACUAG